GACGGAGGAUGCAAGCGUUAUCCGGAAUGAUUGGGCGUAAAGCGUCCGCAGGUGGCAGUUCAAGUCUGCUGUCAAAGACCUGGGCUUAACUUCGGAAAGGCAGUGGAAACUGAACAGCUAGAGUAUGGUAGGGGCAGAGGGAAUUCCUGGUGUAGCGGUGAAAUGCGUAGAGAUCAGGAAGAACAUCGGUGGCGAAGGCGCUCUGCUGGACCAUAACUGACACUCAGGGACGAAAGCUAGGGGAGCGAAUGGG
rnacentral:rRNA from 1 species